GGCAUCCUCGCGAUAUCUUAAGCUGCGACUCAGAAAACAAAUCCUUCUCCUGGCAUCAUCCACAGACAGCUGUUCACACCCCACAUCCUCCUCGCUUUCUGGAGUCUCUCAGCCUUAGGCUGGAAGCAAGGAUGGGCGCCAUUCCUGAGGAAGAGAACCGCUGGACAUGGGUUCUCUGAGGAUGGGGAGCAUGGAGGUGAUGUGCUGUGACACGAGUGGUGGAAUGCUUCACUGGAGAAGGGGAUGUGUCCUGUGCUGUCCCUGUGCUCGCCACCCACACUCCCCUCCCAGAGGAGGCACGAUGCCCAGCCUGCAAACUCACCCCAGUCACCCAGCCAGCGGAGAAUGUCAUACAGGUGCUUCUCCUUCGUCUUAGCAUCUUUGGAGAAGGAGGCAAUUUUUUCCAGCAAGAUGAAUCUCUUCUUGCCCUUUGGAUCUGUCUGCUGAGAUUUGGCAUUUUCUUUUAAAUCAUAUCCUAAUUCUUCCUGGAAGCGGUUGAUGACACAAUUGACAUUGUCCAAAAUGUCUGAGAGCUGGGUAGAAAUAUCCUAUAGAGAAGCAGCAGAUUGUAGUGUUAGGGCUGUGUACUUGAGCCAGAAGCCACAUGCUAGCAGCGUGACCUUGGACAAGUCGCUUAGCCUCUUUGGGUUUCAGUUUUCUUAUAUUUAAAGUGGGAAUCAUUAUAGUACCUAUGUCACAGGGUUUCUAUAAGGAUUAAAUGAACUAAAUAUUUUAAAGUGC
rnacentral:sRNA from 1 species